CUAAUUUGCACUAAUUAUUGAUUUGUAAGAAUUGAAGGGUUUUCCAUAAUGCUCUAAGGAGCAAACAUUAUUAGAUUUUCCAUUUUCAUUUCAACUCUUGGAGGGCAAACCAAAAACGAAUUUUUUGUACUAUCUUGUUGAACGUUAAACAGUUUUUUUCCAAGGCUUUUCAAUUUUCCUUAUCUGCUCAUGUCAAAAGUGAAUUCAACGCCUCCUUCAUCGAAACUCUGUGUACCAUACUUGCUAACAUUCCAUUAAACACCUCAGAGAAUCCCUGAAUUAAAUAUUGUUGUGUAUUAAUUCAAAUCUAAAUCUAUCUCUCUCUUCUUUCUGAAGGUUCAACCAUGAGAUGUUGCUGCGAACAGCAGAGCAAGUUCGAGAAAGCGCUCGAGCCCGAGUCAGGCUUAUGAGUGAUUCGCAGUUGGGCCUGAGCCCGAGGAGAAACUCAAUGCCUUGCGGCAAAAAUUUGCAGCUCGGAAAAUGGCGCAAAGCGAAUCCAAAGGAAGUCUCGCAGCCAGAACGUUGUUCACUGAUGAGCCCAAGUCAAAUCCUACCUCUAUCAACUAUGAUUUCCUCGAAAACGAUAAUAAGGUGAUGGAUGGCAAAGAUCUGAAGCACCGGAAAGAUCGUGAAAGAAGGAAAAGCAUCAUUCAGGCUGUGUCGGAUUUCUUCCACAAGAAGUCUCCUUCUCCCUCACCUUCCAAAACUUCCGAUAAAGUUCCAAACCAAUCGAUAAGCAAUAAAUUCAUGAAGCUGCGCCUUCACACCCUCAGUCGCGAAAAAUCCAAAGUAAGCACUUUCUUUCAUUCUCUCAAUCCUUCAUAUUCAUGGUUCAUUUUAGGGAGAGAGAGUUUGCUUGGCAUACAAAUACGAAGAAAACAAAUUAUCGUAUUUUUAAACAUUGGAGAAUAACAAAAUCAGUCUUCAGGGGGGCUGAUAUGGAAAUUGAUAGACAAAGCAACAGACCGUGAAGAGAAGGGAAAAUGGGAAGCGAUAGACAAUGAAGAGGACGGGGAAAUCGAGCGAUUCUGUUGAUUGAAUAGGUGGUUGUUUUAGAGUAAGGGGGAAAUGAUGGUCUAACAAGAAAGUCUCUUGUAGGCUGUGUUAGAUUUACCAUCUUUGUCCAUUGGAACCACACGCUUCCACCAACAGGAUCGCUUCAUUUCUUCUUUGUCUUGAUGGUCGAUCAAUUUCAAUAAUCAGCCUGCAGCAUUAACGCUUACAAUUAUAAAUUGAAUGAGAAUCAAAUUAAAAGCUAGCUUUUCUUUGUUCGAACUUUUAGCUCAGUAUUGAGCAAAGUGAUGGAUCUUCCUCUAGUAUUUUGGAAAAACAGGAAAAGAAUAAUCAAAGUCCUGACAGUCUGAUGUCUGUGGCCUUAAAAAAGCAAGGGCAAGAGCAGAAGGGGCUUGAUUGUACUGCAAUGUUUCAAAGUCCACUGUUAGAAUUUUUUUUUUCCAGUUACCGAUGUAUGAUUUGCAUCAACAUUUUCAGGAAAACUUCCCUUAAUCACAAGGAAAUUCGUAAAAAGGUACAAAAGAAAAUUUGCAACUUUUCAUAAGUGAAGAAAAAAUAAAUUGUCCCAUGAAAUUUUGCAACAUUGCAGUCUAAUUAAGCCGUUUAUCUCUCACCCUUCAAUAAGUGGUUCUGAAACAAAGUUUCAACAUGACACAGGCAUUCAGGCAAGGCUCAAAAUUGCUGAUUUUUAAUCAGUUUUAGGCUCUUUUACAGCACAAAAGUGAAUUAAGUUGUAUGUAAAUUGUCUUCCUUGAUUAAAAUGAAAAAAAAUAAAAAGCAAAACUUAAGAAAGCAAUCCAGAGAUUGUAAUUUUAACAUACUCUGUUCUCUAGUAAUAAUAAUAUAAUAAUAAUAGCGUUUAUUGUUGAUAAAAUCACACAUACAAUACAAUUUGAACGAAAAAAACUUUAUCACGCCUAAAUACCCCAUGGCCUAGGCCGUCUGGGGGAGGUUAGUUUAAAAAACGGGCCAUGCCCACAUAAAAUAUAAGGAUACUAAAUAUAAAUAAAUAAAUAUAAGGAUCUUAAUUAAUAAUUAAAUUCCUGUACUAACAUCUGUCUAUAACCCCAAGCAAUUUUACAAUACCUUACUAUCUUGUAACACUCUCUCCAUUGUUAUGAGGUCAAAAAAACGUUCCUUUGAAAAACAUCUUUCGCUCAAAAUCUCAAUCCUAAACUCCCGCAACACGGGGCAGACUGCCAAAAAGUGAAAAACGUCUUCUCUUUCUCUUGAAUUACACAGCGAGCAGAUUCCUUUGUGCUAUUAAAAGAAUAAGCAUUUAGGUACAACAAUUCACACUUAAUUUUAACAUCAGCUGAUAUUUGAGCCUCGUAUUCCGA
rnacentral:lncRNA from 1 species